rnacentral:sRNA from 1 species
ACUUUUUUUCUUCUUCUUUUUUA